rnacentral:lncRNA from 1 species
AUGGGCGCCCGUCCGGCCCUGGCGUCAUCGUCUCCGCGUCUCUACCCACUGAGCAAAGACACACGAAAUGAAGCUCGAACGAGCACAGCCAAAGAACGGCCGUUUCUGUCCUUUCUUCUUAAUCCCUUUGGCUUAGGGUUUCCCGGCCUGGACAGCCUGCCCAAGGGCACAUGGGCAUCCGUCCGGGGACAUUCAGGCAGUGACCAAUCCCAGGCCACCCAGGCUGUGCCCUGCGUCGUGGGCCAUUUCCCAGCCGGCCAGAGAUGGAGCAGCCACUGCGGGUCCCCGAGUCUCGGUGAGACAGUCAAGGAUGGACCUUGGAUGGAGACCGGCGUGCGGCCAUGUCCGUGGGUGAAGGAGGCGUGCAGGCCGUGCUGGGGGACAUGGUUGCUGUCCCCUCGGCCAAACCAUGAAAAGCAGCCCUCUCCCCCAACCCCCAGCACCAACCCGGAGACCACCCUCGGCCGGAGCCCAGCACGGCCACCGUCACGUCUCGGUCGUCCAGCUUGGGACAGCCCCCCAGGAGAAGAGGUGCUGAACUGGGUCCCCUGGAGGCUCCUGAGCCCCAGAACAGUGCCCUCUGAGCAGACGGGCACUCUCAGACCAGCUCCCGCUGGACAAGUCAGCUCCUGCCUGCCGCCUGAUGGGCCCUUGGGAGAAGCAGACAUGGUGAGGAAAAGGCCCCUGUGCCCUUCACCCUAAUUCCCCAGCCCCAAGUCCCACUGGGUUGCCAGCUUCAACCUAAGCAAAUAAUUCGUGCCCUCUAAACAAACGCGCGGGAAUCCCACCUGCCCUUCCCCCGCCCGCCCCCCCACCCCUGGCCUUGACCUCCAAAAGCACUUGAGGGGGCUUUCUCCAGACACCCUCCAACCCCGACCCCAUGAAGAAGGGGUGAUGGGGCUGUUACCCCAACAAGCAAGAGAACGAAGCCCAGAGAGGAGUUGGCGUGGACAGCAGGGGUCAGGCCCCUUUGCCCCGAGGGCAGGGCUGGUGCCACCUGGGUCAGGCGGCAGGCCCUGGAAAAGCACCGGAAAUGAGCACACCUGGGUCUCUAGAAGGUUCUUCCAGACCUCUGGGGGCUGAGUCAUUUCAACACUCCUGGGCCGGGCAGGGCUUCUUCUUGGCCCCGAGGGACAAGGUCCCCUUCGUCCGGGGGUACGGCCCCUGGACCCCUGUCCCCCGCACCCCACCCUCCGCCUGGUGAGGGCCGCGGCCAGCUCUGGACACAGAUCCCUCAGAGCCCCUUCUCCCUCCCUGCUCCCUCGUCUUCCCAAGAUGCCCCGGCCUCCAGGUGGGGCAGCCAGGCGGCAGAAUGUGGUCCAGGCCUCUCGGCCCCACCCACACCCCCCUGCUCUGCCCUGACAGCCUCCAAGACGCAGGCACGUCGCUGCGUUCUGCGUCCUGUCUCCUCAUGGCACAAAACGGUGCCCGCCUAGCUUCCCCCAGAGAAGGGAGAUCGUGCUCCCCGGACGGACCCUGCUCUGCCUGUCCUCCCGCCCGGCCUUCAGGGCCUCUCCCCAAGGGUGGCCGCGAGGAGGCCCUCGCCUCCGGCCACGGGGGCUCCAUCCUCCCGAGCCCGACAGGCCUCCGCCUGGUGGUCCGACCUCUUCCCCAAGGCCCCGCCCAUCCUCCUCGCGCUCCCCCAAACCCUGCCUCUUUCCCCAGCGCCCUUGUCCCCACGGAAGACCCUCCACCCGUGCCA